rnacentral:lncRNA from 1 species
GCUUUUGAUAAAAAGAUGCAUGCUGAUACAAGGGGCAACGACCACAAUAUAAAGGAGAAGCCUUGUACAUGCACAAGGUCUCGGAAAUAACAAAAACUCUUAAGUCUAAAGGCUCCCUCGAAAACUAGACAAAGACAUUGUUUUCGAAAACUAAAUAACAUAAAAACAUAGCUAUAAAAAUAACAUAAGGUCUUCAUGUGGACAGACCAAGAUCAAUCAUCUAGGAGAUAGGAGAAGUAGACUUGUGGCCUCGUUAAAAACCUUCCUAUGGAAAACCCAGUGGGACAAAACCAAAGGUUAGGAAAAGAGCACUUACAAGCUACUUGCCAAGAUGAUGAUCAGCUUGAAGGUGGAGUAGCUUGAAUGAUGGUUAAGGUGUCUUGGAUGAUCAAGCUUCGGCCAAGACUAAUGUAUUCUUCUUGUUUCCAAGCAUUCUUCAAUGUUGCAUACUCAGCUACAAUCUCUUCAGGUUCAGGUUUAUACUUCCACUCCUUGGGGCUUUCCAUGAUCACAUCAUCCCCUCCCUCUUCAAAAAGAUUUUUCCUCAAAUCUGCUUUACCUGCAAUAGAGGGGGCCAAGUCAGUAAUAUCAAAGUUUAAAAUCAGAUUACACUUACCUUGCAAGCCUCUUUGAUAGGCAUUAUUGCUGACUUGUUCGGAUAUGUAGAAGGCAUUUAUCCAUUUAGUUCCAGAUUCAUUAUUCAAACCUGAUACAUUGAAACAAAGCAAGUUAGCACAUGAAAAGUUAUCAUAGAGUAAUAAUCUUAUUCCAAAUUUGUUUCUGCUCGGUUUUGGCUUGUAUGCUGUAUCUGGAGGUGCUUCUUUGAUGAGGAAGAAGCAAGUGACGUCCUGAUGUCUCUCCUGGUUUAUAUCAGGCGGCUUGAAAUGUUUGUCUUCCUCACGCUUGUUCUUUCCCUUGGUAUGCUUCAAAGCUUCCAUAUAAUCUGCACAUGACUCUUUUGGCAAAAACAAGUGCAUCAUAUCUGUGUAAUCAAUAAAAGAACUCUUGAAAACAUGAUUAGUUACCUUAGCAUGCUCACCUGGUCGCCAUAGAUAGGAUUGAGAUGUUCUAAACUCAGAAAAGUUCAGACAAAGAAAACACAGAAUCACCCGACUUGUAGAACGCAUAACUCUUUCAUUUGAGAAGCUUUGGACAUGAUUCUAAUUCGACAUGAGACCCUGAUGAGUUAAGUUUCCAUUGCAGUUGAGUUUGUUGCUUAAUUCCUUCUGGUUGCUCAGAUAUGAUCCUCGGACUGAUCCUAUGUCAAAGCUGGCGGCUAGACAACUUCCAAGAUUUGAUUGUUGCAUCUCUAAUUUAGCCAAGGAUCCAUUCUUGAUACUCUGAUCAUUACUAUAGCCUCUCCUUUCGAGAAGUAUAGUACUCAAAACUGUUUGACCUGUACGAAUAGAAAGCAAAUCAGGUUUCAUGCGCUUCUCUGAAUUUAGAUAAUUACCUCGGGUUGGUUUAUUUGGAGAUUGAUGUAGACUGAGUCCAUCUGGUGGUUUCUCCUUGAUUUGAGAAGAAAACAUGAGUUCUCCUCCUACUCCAGUAAUCACUUCACCAUUUACUCUAAUGAAAUCUCCAUCUCCACUCUUGGUUUGACAAUCUCUGAAAUGAUAUUGAAGCUUUUGCAAAUCUGGUGGCUUUUUCACCUUGACAUGAUCAAGAUGCAAGACAUUUUGAUCAGCUUCCAACUUCUUAUUACCAAAGCUGCUUCUAGCACGAGCAGAGCACUCUCCAGGAAUGAUAAGUAUGCUGUAAUAUGCUCCAGGUUACCACAAGUAGAUCUGUAACCUUCCAGCCCAAUCUGAUAUAAGCAGCUCACAAAAUUUAGCCAAACUGAUAUGUUUUUGCGAAAUUGACAACAUCUUGAUGAUCAGGUGGCCAUUUGCUGUGUUGUCUGGUUUGUUGGAUACAGGAAAAAGUGGGUAACAUUCUCCAAUUGUUUUCGUAGUGAAACUCUUGCUGAGCCGAGACGUGCAUCCCUUUAACUUCAGAUGGUAAAAGAUCACCAAAAACAAUUGUUGUUGCUGCCGAUUUCUUCUCAAUCACUAUGGGAUUGUUCCUGUGAUUCCACAACUCUCCUCCAGGUUCAAAUACAACAUGUUCCAUGCACAGUUCGUGUCUUGAAAGCUCUACUGCUCUGGUCUUGUUCUAGACAAAGGGAUUGAUCAGAAAAGUACCCAAGAAUAUCUUUUGAAUCACACGGAUCAAUGACAAUCAGUUGUCCCUUUUUUGCAAGCCGUCUGUGGCUCCCUGGGUGUCUCUUCUGGUACUAUGGCUUGUUUGAAAGGAACCAUGACGUUCUGAACAGGGUGCUCAUCUUUCUGAAUGGCAGCUGAUGAUUCUUUGGCUUGAUCUCCUUGAAUAAAUGUACCUGAUACCGGCUCUGCUGAAUUAAGUUCUGAGACUGAAGUGAUUGACUCCUGGUUAUGUUCUUCUAAGGAUGGACGUGUAGUGUGGGUCUCCCUGAAUUGUUUCUCCACAUCCAUAAUCACUUGAGACAGCUUCUUAUGUCCUCCUCACUGAGACAGCUUGUUGUCUUGCUAGGUAAACCAAUAACACCGGUUGAACUUGAUCUCACUCUGCCUUGUUGUUCCUGGACUGAGUUUGCAGAGCAUGGCUUUGUUUCAGACUGUUUUCGAAGCACUGACUUUUGGUACUGUCUUGGAACAUACUUAUGACGCAUCAAAGCUCUUAAUUUAAGCCAGGUUGCAACAGGUUCGUUUCCAUAGAAUCUCCUAGACGACACCAAUGGAUUCCACCAGCUUGAAGCAUAACCACAAAACUCGGCAGUGGCUAAUUGAACCUUUUUUACUUCAGCAUAGCUUUGAUAAUCGAAAAUCAACUCCAUCUUCUGUUCCCAUUCCACAUAUGCAGCAGGAUCAGACUUGCCAUGAAAAGAAGGGAUUUGAAAUUUCAAUCCAGCAUGCUUCCGGUUUAUGCCCAUCUGAUCAAACUCCUUUUUCUUGUACUCAUCUCUGGAUGAUCUGCCUUUCCUUUACUGCUGUAGGUCUUGUCUGAAUUUUCUCAAUUGAUCUUUGCAGACUUCAUCCAGACUGGCUGUGAAUUCUUCAAGAAAAAGCUUUUCUUUCUUGCUGAGUUCUCCUUUUUGAUCUCCUGCCAUGGUACCUGAGACAAGAGAAAGAUUAAGCCAGUAAGUAGUUCUAACAAAACAGAUCACAAUUAUUGGAUUUAGACAACGAUCAGAACAGAUCAAAUCGAGAAUAAAAAAAUCAAAAACAAUCAGGUUGAUAAUCAGAACAAGUUUGAUAAUCAGAAACAGACAGAAGCAACAGAACAAACGAUCAAUAAUAAACCCAAACACAAACAGAUCAGUAAACUUCAAUCGACUGAUCUCAAAACAGAUUCAAAUUGCCAAAACAAACCUAACCAACACACAGAUAAGAUUGAAACAAUAAAACCCUAAUUAGAACAGAAAUAGAUCAUGAAAUCAAGUUCAAUUUCAGAUUUGGAUUUGAUGAUUAAAACAGGAAAGAACAGAUUCACAAUUCUCAUAAACAAUUUGAUUUCUCUUAACCCUAAUCAGUUUCAAAUCAAUCAAACAAAUUGAUGCCUUUUUUAACACGGAUCUGAUAAGUUUUAAAUCAAAAACGUGAUCAACAGUCUCAGAACUAUCAGAUAUCAAAAACACAAACACAGAUCGAUACGAAAUCAAAGAGUAUAUGAAAAGACUUCAACAUAUUCGUGAUCAAAACACUUAGAUCUAACAGAUUUCAAGCUUAAACAAGUAGAUCUAAUCAAACUCGAAGAGAAUAUGAACAGAUCAAAACGUGAACAGAUAGAAAUCAAAACACUUCCUUCCAGAGUUGCUCUAAUACCACAUAAUGAGAUCCUAGGAUGAUGCUCUGGAACAGAUGGGAUAAUCCUUGCAGAAACGAAUCAAAAGACUCAAGUUUCUCAAGGUAUGUGGAUCGAAUGGUGACACAAGAGGCUGCGGAAAGGCUCCUUGAUACUCCUAGGCAAUAGAUCGGAUAUGACACACCAAACUAGAGCCCUUAGUCUCUGGAUAUUACACACCAGAAGUUGGAUAUUACACACCAACACUCAAUCAACUCGACAAGCAAGAAGAAACGAGAAAACAAAAGUUUUUAAUAAAAAGAUGGAUGCUGAUACAAGGGGCCACGACCACAAUAUAAAGGAGAAGCCUUGUACAUGCACAAGGUCUCGGAAAUAACAAAAACUCUUAAGUCUAAUGGCUCCCUCGAAAACUAGACAAAGACAUUGUUUCCGAAAACUAAAUAACAUAAAAACAUAGCUAUAAAAAUAACAUAAGGUCUUCACGUGGACAGACCAAGAUCAAUCAUCUAGGAGAUAGGAGAAGUAGACUUGUGGCCUCAUUAAAAACCUUCCUUUGGAAAACCCAGUGGGACAAAACCAAAGGUUAGGAAAAGUGCACACACAAGCUACUUGCCUAGAUGAUGAUCAGCUUGAAGGUGGAGUAGCUUGAAUGAUGGUUAAGGUGUCUUGGAUGAUCAAGCUUCGGCCAAGACUAAUGUAUUCUUCUUGUUUCCAAGCAUUCUUCAAUG